rnacentral:lncRNA from 1 species
CAAUAAGAGACAGUCAAUCAUAACUGGCCUACUCCCUACUCCUUUAAUAUUGGCACAUGGAGCAUUUCACUUCAUGCAGUGGCAGAUUUUUCCUGAGUGAAAUAUUGCCCCCUUGUCCCCCUCCCCAAACAGGCAUCGCAGCAGGCCGUUGCUGAGGUAAAGGAUUCUUCUUCUGCCUCAGUCGUGACGUGCCAGUCUCGCUCAGCGUCACUAGUCUCAGAGGCAGACUCCAAAGACAUGUUUGCAUCACAACAAGCAAAGCAUCCUGCCGAGGAGAUCAUCACGGCAAUCCCAGCAUUACACAGCCAGCUGCCUCCUCAGCCAUCCAGACCUAGUGGCAAAGCUGCUCCGCUACCACGUAAAACCUGGACUGCCCCUUUACCACUCAACCUACCUCCAGACCAGGCCACCAACCCUAUAUGUAACACUUCGGCCUCCUCCCCCUGUAAUGACAACACAGCCACCUCACCCAAAUGUUCCCACGUGUCGAUCCCCCCACACCCACGCACUUCACUUCUUUCAGACCCGUCAUUCCCCCGUAGUCCCCUGCUCGAUCCUCUUGACCCGCAGGUCUCUCAGGUUGGCCCCCCAUCGCCUGCUGCUGCAGAGAAGCCUCCAUAUAAGUCUGAGCAGGAAGGUGUCCCUCCUCUUCUGUCACCACUGACCUCACCUCCUGCAGCCAUGCCUGUCACAGGAUGUCAGCCUACCUCCAGCACUCAGUUUGAGCAGUGUAGAUGGGGUGUAAUGGUUCAGUCCGUGGUGCGAGCACCUUUGGGACUGAGCAUCUCUUUUGUCAUACGCAAGCGUGACUCCGUACCGUCUAAACAGGGAUCCUCCCCGGACACCGCAUGCACUCGUGACGGUGCGACAGGGCUUUUAAGAUGCGCGUUGUUUUUGAAAACGCAGGCAGUUGAGUAA